AGGAGACUGAUCAGAGUCAAACCAUAUGCUGUGGCUUUUGCUCCAUAGAAAUCUCAACUAUACUGCAAGAAUAAUUAUUCCUACUUAAUGAAGUUACAGAAGAGAAUGUGGUGCUGGAUGGUACUGACUGCAUGGGGAGAGGCCAUACCACAGAAACCUCAAUCUGCCUGAGUCGUGACUCUGAGAGCUGGAGUACCACCGGACAGGUGGGAACUGGAAGGGAAUUGAAGUAUCUGGGGCACCUGCUUUUCUGGUAAUGUAACAGCCUAUAAUUUCCACUAGGGCGAGAUCCUCAUCAAAACUCAGGGCAAAGCUAUUUUGCCUGCAGUUUCUGAGCCAUCCAUCAUGUCCU